rnacentral:rRNA from 1 species
UACAGAGGUGGCAAGCGUUGUUCGGAAUUACUGGGCGUAAAGGGCGCGUAGGCGGCCUUCUAAGUCAGACGUGAAAUCCCCAGGCUUAACUUGGGAACUGCGUCUGAUACUGGGAGGCUUGAGUGCGGGAGAGGGAUGUGGAAUUCCAGGUGUAGCGGUGAAAUGCGUAGAUAUCUGGAGGAACACCGGUGGCGAAGGCGGCAUCCUGGACCGACAUUGACGCUGAGGAGCGAAAGCCAGGGGAGCAAACGGG